rnacentral:rRNA from 1 species
UGGGGGAUAUUGCACAAUGGGCGAAAGCCUGAUGCAGCGACGCCGCGUGGGGGAUGAAGGCCUUCGGGUUGUAAACUUCUUUUGCUCUGAACAAGGCAUGCUAAUGGGUGUGUUGAGUGUAGGGGUUGAUUAGCGCCGGCUAACUACGUGCCAGCAGCCGCGAUAAUACGUAGGGCGCGAGCGUUGUCCGGAAUUAUUGGGCGUAAAGGGCUUGUAGGUGGCUGGUUGCGUCUGUCGUGAAAGCUCAUGGCUUAACUGUGGGUUUGCGGUGGGUACGGGCUGGCUUGAGUGCAGUAGGGGAGGCUGGAAUUCCUGGUGUAGCGGUGGAAUGCGCAGAUAUCAGGAGGAAUACCGGUGGCGAAGGCGGGUCUCUGGGCUGUUACUGACACUGAGGAGCGAAAGCAUGGGGAGCGAACAGG